AUGAGAAUAGGGGGCUGGAUUCUUCAUCUGCCCCUGACCUUUCGAUCCACACACACCUGUGCACACACAACUAUACCCACCUAGCUUCAGCCAAGGUGUGGUAGUCACUUUAUUAACACGGUCAUUGAGUGUAAAUACAAAUCCUCCAAAGCGGGGUGAAAGUUAAAUA
rnacentral:misc_RNA from 1 species